rnacentral:rRNA from 1 species
CAGUAGCCGCGGUAAUACAGAGGGUGCGAGCGUUAAUCGGAUUUACUGGGCGUAAAGCGUGCGUAGGCGGCUUCUUAAGUCGGAUGUGAAAUCCCUGAGCUUAACUUAGGAAUUGCAUUCGAUACUGGGAAGCUAGAGUAUGGGAGAGGAUGGUAGAAUUCCAGGUGUAGCGGUGAAAUGCGUAGAGAUCUGGAGGAAUACCGAUGGCCAAGGCAGCCAUCUGGCCUAAUACUGACUCUGAGGUACGAAAGCAUGGGGAGCAAACAGGAUUAGAGACCCCUGUAGUCCCUGUCUCUUAUAU